CCUGGUGGUUUGUGCGAUACGGCCCGACCUGAUCCCAUCCCGAACUCAGUCGUCAAACGUAUCAGCGGGGACGAUAAUGCUACUGCGAGGUUGUGUGAAAAUACCUCACUGCCAGAU
rnacentral:rRNA from 3 species